GUGGGGUUCAGGAGGCCUGCAAGGGCUGAGAUUACUCUGCUUCACAGAGGGAGAAGACUCUCCAGGGCUGUUACAAGAAACAGUGACCCCUGAGCUUGGUGACUUCUUACUCUCUGGUGCCUACGGCUGAUGGAAGUGGCAGGCUUCUGGGUGGGUGCCCUGAGGGGCUGUCUAACCCUCUGCCCCCAUUUCCCACAUGUGGAGUUGACCAGACAGCCUGAGGUGUUCAGGGGACUUUGUGCUUACAGUUUCUUCCGUGGUCCCUGGGAACAGAAGAGUUUCAGAGGAUUUUAAGCAGCAACAACAACCGAUGAUAAAUAAUACUUUACAUAUGUCCUUCUUGCCAAUGGGCAUCUAAGAGUUGUGCACACACUGACUUGCUCAAUCCUUACAACAACCCUAGGAAAUAGGAGCUGCAAUCAUCCCAGUUUGCAAAAGAAAGAGAGGAAAAGAGUUAGGGAGGAAAGGUAGUGAGUUUGCACUCCAUCAUUACAACCGAAUAUCUGAGAAGUUUGUUCUGUUCGCAUAUUUUGGAGGCUGAAAACCAGGACCAGGCAGCUCCAUGGAUUCAGCGUCUGGUGAGGACCUUGUGGCAAGAUGUUCUGGGGAAGACACUGACAUCUACCUCCAGUCGAAACAAGAUGAGCUUUCCUCCGUUGAAGCCCUCCGCUGCUGUAAGCCUGGAGCGUGCUGUCUCCGUUGUGUCCACCAGAGGGCACUGUGCCCAUGUUUCUGUGGAGAGAGGAACCGCCCAAACCCACACUUGCUGUCACAGGCCUCUUCCUAGAUCUCCUCAGAUGCAGCGGACACUCGUUUAAAAGUUUCUGGACUGGGAGCAUCAUGCGUCUGAAAGUGAAGGUAUCAAGGUGUCUUCUAACGUGUAUCUCUUCAGUUUUUCUUAGACAACAGCAGGCCUGUCUCGCCUUUUGACAACCAGCCUGUUGGUAAUACUGGACCUACAUUCAAAAAUUGUAUUAAAUUUUAUGUCAUGACUGCAGAUA
rnacentral:lncRNA from 1 species